UCUCCGUUGGUGAACCAGCGGAGGGAUCAUUGCUGGAACGCGCUUCGGCGCACCCAGAAACCCUUUGUGAACUUAUACCUAUUGUUGCCUCGGCGCAGGCCGGCCUCUUCACUGAGGCCCCCUGGAGACAGGGAGCAGCCCGCCGGCGGCCAACCAAACUCUUGUUUCUUAGUGAAUCUCUGAGCAAAAAACAUAAUGAAUCAAAACUUUCAACAACGGAUCUCUGGGUUCUGGCAUCGAUGAAGAACGCAGC
rnacentral:misc_RNA from 1 species